GGGGGAUAUUGCACAAUGGAGGAAACUCUGAUGCAGCAACGCCGCGUGAGGGAAGAAGGUCUUCGGAUUGUAAACCUUUGUCCUUGGUGACGAAACAAAUGACGGUAGCCAAGGAGGAAGCUCCGGCUAACUACGUGCCAGCAGCCGCGGUAAUACGUAGGGAGCAAGCGUUGUCCGGAUUUACUGGGUGUAAAGGGUGCGUAGGCGGCUCUGCAAGUCAGGCGUGAAAUACAUGGGCUUAACCCAGGGACUGCGUUUGAAACUGUGGAGCUUGAGUGGAGUAGAGGUAGGCGGAAUUCCCGGUGUAGCGGUGAAAUGCGUAGAGAUCGGGAGGAACACCAGUGGCGAAGGCGGCCUACUGGGCUUUAACUGACGCUGAGGCACGAAAGCAUGGGUAGCAAAC
rnacentral:rRNA from 1 species